rnacentral:rRNA from 1 species
GACGAACGUUGGCGGCGUGCUUAACACAUGCAAGUCGAACGGAAAGGCCCUGCUUUUGUGGGGUGCUCGAGUGGCGAACGGGUGAAUAACACGUGAGUAACCUGCCCUUGACUUUGGGAUAACUUCAGGAAACUGGGGCUAAUACCGGAUAGGAGCUCCUGCUGCAUGGUGGGGGUUGGAAAGUUUCGGCGGUUGGGGAUGGACUCGCGGCUUAUCAGCUUGUUGGUGGGGUAGUGGCUUACCAAGGCUUUGACGGGUAGCCGGCCUGAGAGGGUGACCGGCCACAUUGGGACUGAGAUACGGCCCAGACUCCUACGGGAGGCAGCAGUGGGGAAUAUUGCACAAUGGGCGGAAGCCUGAUGCAGCAACGCCGCGUGCGGGAUGACGGCCUUCGGGUUGUAAACCGCUUUCGCCUGUGACGAAGCGUGAGUGACGGUAAUGGGUAAAGAAGCACCGGCUAACUACGUGCCAGCAGCCGCGGUGAUACGUAGGGUGCGAGCGUUGUCCGGAUUUAUUGGGCGUAAAGGGCUCGUAGGUGGUUGAUCGCGUCGGAAGUGUAAUCUUGGGGCUUAACCCUGAGCGUGCUUUCGAUACGGGUUGACUUGAGGAAGGUAGGGGAGAAUGGAAUUCCUGGUGGAGCGGUGGAAUGCGCAGAUAUCAGGAGGAACACCAGUGGCGAAGGCGGUUCUCUGGGCCUUUCCUGACGCUGAGGAGCGAAAGCGUGGGGAGCGAACAGGCUUAGAUACCCUGGUAGUCCACGCUGUAAACGGUGGGUACUAGGUGUGGGGUCCAUUCCACGGGUUCCGUGCCGUAGCUAACGCUUUAAGUACCCCGCCUGGGGAGUACGGCCGCAAGGCUAAAACUCAAAGGAAUUGACGGGGCCCCGCACAAGCGGCGGAGCAUGCGGAUUAAUUCGAUGCAACGCGUAGAACCUUACCUGGGUUUGACAUGGAUCGGGAGUGCUCAGAGAUGGGUGUGCCUCUUUUGGGGUCGGUUCACAGGUGGUGCAUGGCUGUCGUCAGCUCGUGUCGUGAGAUGUUGGGUUAAGUCCCGCAACGAGCGCAACCCUUGUUCACUGUUGCCAGCACGUUAUGGUGGGGACUCAGUGGAGACCGCCGGGGUCAACUCGGAGGAAGGUGGGGAUGACGUCAAGUCAUCAUGCCCCUUAUGUCCAGGGCUUCACGCAUGCUACAAUGGCUGGUACAGAGAGUGGCGAGCCUGUGAGGGUGAGCGAAUCUCGGAAAGCCGGUCUCAGUUCGGAUUGGGGUCUGCAACUCGACCUCAUGAAGUCGGAGUCGCGAGUAAUCGCAGAUCAGCAACGCUGCGGUGAAUACGUUCCCGGGGCC